UGGCGAACGGGUGAGUAACACGUGGGUAACCUGCCCAUCAGAAGGGGAUAACACUUGGAAACAGGUGCUAAUACCGUAUAACACUAUUUUCCGCAUGGAAGAAAGUUGAAAGGCGCUUUUGCGUCACUGAUGGAUGGACCCGCGGUGCAUUAGCUAGUUGGUGAGGUAACGGCUCACCAAGGCAACGAUGCAUAGCCGACCUGAGAGGGCGAUCGGCCACACUGGGACUGAGACACGGCCCAGACUCCUACGGGAGGCAGCAGUAGGGAAUCUUCGGCAAUGGACGAAAGUCUGACCGAGCAACGCCGCGUGAGUGAAGAAAGGUUUUCGGAUCGUAAAAACUCUGUUGU
rnacentral:rRNA from 1 species